AACGAACGCUGGCGGCAGGCUUAACACAUGCAAGUCGAGCGCCCCGCAAGGGGAGCGGCAGACGGGUGAGUAACGCGUGGGAAUCUACCGAGCCCUGCGGAAUAGCUCCGGGAAACUGGAAUUAAUACCGCAUACGCCCUACGGGGGAAAGAUUUAUCGGGGUUUGAUGAGCCCGCGUUGGAUUAGCUAGUUGGUGGGGUAAUGGCCUACCAAGGCGACGAUCCAUAGCUGGUCUGAGAGGAUGAUCAGCCACAUUGGGACUGAGACACGGCCCAAACUCCUACGGGAGGCAGCAGUGGGGAAUAUUGGACAAUGGGGGCAACCCUGAUCCAGCCGUGCCGCGUGAGUGAUGAAGGCCUUAGGGUUGUAAAGCUCUUUCGCCGGUGAAGAUAAUGACGGUAACCGGAGAAGAAGCCCCGGCUAACUUCGUGCCAGCCGCCGCUGUAAAAC
rnacentral:rRNA from 1 species